GUUGUAUGGUUAAGUGACUAAGCGUACACGGUGGAUGCCUGGGCAGUCAGAGGCGAUGAAGGACGUACUAACUUGCGAUAAGCGCAGAUAAGGCAGUAAGAGCCGUUUGAGUCUGCGAUUUCCGAAUGGGGAAACCCAACUGCAUAAGCAGUUACUGUUAACUGAAUACAUAGGUUAACAGAGCAAACCGGGGGAACUGAAACAUCUAAGUACCCCGAGGAGAAGAAAUCAACCGAGAUUCCGGUAGUAGCGGCGAGCGAACCUGGAUUAGCCCUUAAGCACUCGGUGAAGUAGGUGAACAAGCUGGAAAGCUUGGCGAUACAGGGUGAUAGCCCCGUAACCGACGCUUCAUCGAGCGUGAAAUCGAGUAGGGCGGGACACGUGAUAUCCUGUCUGAAUAUGGGGGGACCAUCCUCCAAGGCUAAAUACUCCUGACUGACCGAUAGUGAACCAGUACCGUGAGGGAAAGGCGAAAAGAACCCCUGUGAGGGGAGUGAAAUAGAACCUGAAACCGUGUACGUACAAGCAGUAGGAGCACCUUCGUGGUGUGACUGCGUACCUUUUGUAUAAUGGGUCAGCGACUUAUAUUCAGUGGCAAGGUUAACCGUAUAGGGGAGCCGUAGCGAAAGCGAGUCUUAACUGGGCGCUCAGUCUCUGGAUAUAGACCCGAAACCGGGUGAUCUAGCCAUGGGCAGGUUGAAGGUUGAGUAACAUCAACUGGAGGACCGAACCGACUAAUGUUGAAAAAUUAGCGGAUGACUUGUGGCUAGGGGUGAAAGGCCAAUCAAAC
rnacentral:rRNA from 1 species